rnacentral:rRNA from 1 species
AGCGAACGCUGGCGGCAGGCCUAACACAUGCAAGUCGAACGGACCCUUCGGGGUUAGUGGCGGACGGGUGAGUAACACGUGGGAACGUGCCCUUUGGUUCGGAACAACUCAGGGAAACUUGAGCUAAUACCGAAUGUGCCCUUUGGGGGAAAGAUUUAUCGCCAUUGGAGCGGCCCGCGUCUGAUUAGCUAGUUGGUGGGGUAAUGGCCUACCAAGGCUACGAUCAGUAGCUGGUCUGAGAGGAUGAUCAGCCACAUUGGGACUGAGACACGGCCCAAACUCCUACGGGAGGCAGCAGUGGGGAAUCUUGCGCAAUGGGCGAAAGCCUGACGCAGCCAUGCCGCGUGAAUGAUGAAGGUCUUAGGAUUGUAAAAUCCUUUCACCGGUGAAGAUAAUGACUGUAGCCGGAGAAGAAGCCCCGGCUAACUUCGUGCCAGCAGCCGCCGUAAAAC